GUGCAGCAGGCGAGAAACCUCCGCAAUGCACGCAAGUGCGACGGGGGAACCCCAAGUGCCACUCUUAACGGGGUGGCUUUUCAGAAGUGUAAAAAGCUUCUGGAAUAAGGGCUGGGCAAGACCGGUGCCAGCCGCCGCGGUAACACCGGCAGCUCAAGUGGUAGCCGCUUUUAUUGGGCCUAAAGCGUCCGUAGCCGGUCUGAUAAGUCUCUGGUGAAAUCCCACAGCUUAACUGUGGGAAUUGCUGGAGAUACUAUCAUGACUCGAGGUCGGGAGAGGCUGGAGGUACUCCCAGGGUAGGGGUGAAAUCCUGUAAUCCUGGGAGGACCACCUGUGGCGAAGGCGUCCAGCUGGAACGAACCUGACGGUGAGGGACGAAAGCCAGGGGCGCGAACCGGAUUAGAUACCCGAGUAGUCC
rnacentral:rRNA from 1 species